rnacentral:rRNA from 1 species
UACGUAGGUGGCAAGCGUUGUCCGGAUUUAUUGGGUUUAAAGGGUGCGUAGGCGGCCCUGUAAGUCAGUGCUGAAAUAUCCCGGCUUAACCGGGAGGGUGGCAUUGAUACUGCGGGGCUAGAGUACAGAUGAGGUAGGCGGAGUUGACGGUGUAGCGGUGAAAUGCUUAGAUAUCGUCAAGAACACCUAUAGCGAAGGCAGCUUACUAGGCUGUAACUGACGCUGAGGCACGAAAGUGUGGGGAUCAAACAGG